ensembl:lncRNA
CUGGGAAUAAGUCCAGACUCAGUAUUCACUGCAUGAAAGAGGGGACAGGCUUAGAGACAGAGAUUCCUAGGAUUGGCACAGGCUUAGAGAAAAAGAGAGAAGGAAGAUUCUAGAAGAGGCAGGACGGGGUGGUGCUGGUUGGGCUCAAGAGUGAGGUUUCCUCAUAGGUCAGGAGAUGAGGAGGAGAGGGGAGUGAAGGCAUAAGAAAGGUGUUUGUGUAGUUGGGAAGGAGUUCAGGAGGCCAGUGCGGACCUGCUUGGACACGGGAGGAGAAGGUUGCGGGGAAGCUGGUGGUAUUGCCAGCCGCUAGGAGGGAGGGAGCUUUGGCAGUCCUGCCGCAGCUGGGAGAAGGCAGCCGCCUCUUAUCUUUAGAGGUCUUAAGAGCACGUGCUGAAGCUAAGUCACUUCAGUUGUGUCUUACUGCGAUCCCACGGACUGUAGCUCGACAGGCUUCUCUGUCUGUGGGAUUCUCCAGGCAAGAAGAUUGGAGUGGGUUGCCAUGCCCUCCUCCAGGGGAUCUUCCCAACCCAGGGAUCGAAGCUGUGUCUAUUAUGUCUCCUGCAUUGGCAGGCGGUUCUUUUCAAUAGCGCCACCUGGGAAGCCCUGAAGUGAAGCUGUUUCUGCCGAUUAAGAGCAGGUGGUGGUCCUUAGUUUGAGGAUUCUUUGGCGAACCUGUUCGGAGGCCACUGAUCUUUCCCCCCACAGAAAUGCAUGCUUGACUCUACAUCCCAACCUUUGGUGGAGGAUUUCGGAGUGGGGGAGGGUGGAUCCAGUUACCAUAGCAACACUAAUACUAACAGCUCACUCGAUGCUGGGCACUGGUCUAGGGUCUUCACAAGACCUGACUCCGUUACACACGUGGAGACUUAGGAGGGAAUCUUCUCAACCCAGGGAUUGAACCUGCAACUCCUUCAUUAGCAGGCGGAUUCUUUACCACUGAGCCACCGGGGAAGCCCUUCCAUAAAGCAUGUGGGAUCUUGGUUCCCCCGCCCCCUGCAUUGGAAGGCAGAGUCUUAACCACUGGACCGCCAGAGAAGUUCCCCCUUGCUUCAAAUUGUGAACAGCUGAAUCGAGAUAGAGUGCACGCACCACAGAAUCCCCCCAUUUAAGGAGUAUGAUUCAUUGGUGUUUCGUACGUUCACAGAGCUGUGCAGCCGUCCCCAAUCUGGUUCCAGAACGUUUUCAUCCUCCCUAAUAGAAACCCCAGUUCCCUUAGUUGCUGACCAUUUCCCCUGCCCUCCAGCCCCUGGGAACCCCUAAUCUGCGCUCUGCCUCUUACAGGCUUGCCUCUUCUGGACGUUUUAUAUAAACAGAACCCACCACUGUGCGGC